GAUGAAGAACGCAGCGAAAUGCGAUACGUAAUGUGAAUUGCAGAAUUCAGUGAAUCAUCGAGUCUUUGAACGCACAUUGCGCCCCCUGGCAUUCCGGGGGGCAUGCCUGUCCGAGCGUCAUUUCUGCCCUCAAGCACGGCUUGUGUGUUGGGUGUGGUCCCCCCGGGGACCUGCCCGAAAGGCAGCGGCGACGUCCGCCUAGGUCCUCGAGCGUAUGGGGCUUUGUCACUCGCUCGGGAGGGGCCUGCGGGCGUUGGUCAUCCACUAUUUUUCCACGAUUGACCUCGGAUCAGGUAGGAGUUACCCGCUGAACUUAAGCAUAUCAAUAAGCGGAGGA
rnacentral:misc_RNA from 1 species